rnacentral:rRNA from 1 species
UACGGGGGGGGGCAAGCGUUGUUCGGAAUUAUUGGGCGUAAAGAGCUCGUAGGCGGUUUGUCGCGUCGGCCGUGAAAUCUCCACGCUUAACGUGGAGCGUGCGGUCGAUACGGGCAGACUUGAGUUCGGUAGGGGAGACUGGAAUUCCUGGUGUAGCGGUGAAAUGCGCAGAUAUCAGGAGGAACACCGGUGGCGAAGGCGGGUCUCUGGGCCGAUACUGACGCUGAGGAGCGAAAGCGUGGGGAGCGAACAGG